rnacentral:rRNA from 1 species
UGGGGGAUAUUGCACAAUGGGGGGAAACCCUGAUGCAGCGACGCCGCGUGGAGGAAGAAGGUUUUCGGAUUGUAAACUCCUGUCGUUAGGGACGAUAAUGACGGUACCUAACAAGAAAGCACCGGCUAACUACGUGCCAGCAGCCGCGGUAAAACGUAGGGUGCAAGCGUUGUCCGGAAUUACUGGGUGUAAAGGGAGCGCAGGCGGACCGGCAAGUUGGAAGUGAAAACUAUGGGCUCAACCCAUAAAUUGCUUUCAAAACUGCUGGCCUUGAGUAGUGCAGAGGUAGGUGGAAUUCCUAGUGUAGCGGUGAAAUGCGUAGAUAUUAGGAGGAACACCAGUGGCGAAGGCGGUCAACUGGACGAUAACUGACGCUGAGGCGCGAAAGCGUGGGGAGCAAACAGGAUUAGAUACCCUGGUAGU